AGAAGAGGCACCGAAGCAUCAACUAUCUUGGAACUCUGCCAACUAGAACCUCGGCCUCAACUGACACAUCCAAACUAAUGGCUGAGUGUCUUUUUUAGCAGCAUCAAGCAACUCCUUUACAAUACCACCCAAAGUAAUUUUCCUGAAGAAAUUCUCCUUGUAUCUAACUUCAUUCAGGUUCUUGGGGCUUGCCAAAUAGCCAGCAAUGUGACCUUAACUUGGUCAGUUGACAUCUCUGGUCUUAAGUUUCCUAAUCUGCAACAUUUGAAGGUUUAUUUUCUAAACGUUUUUACUUUAGUACUAAUUUCUGUGAGACAAUCAAGCUAUUCAAUGUUAGGUUGAGGUAUGUAAAUCAUUCCUGCCAGCCUUUGUACGAGGUGGUUCUGGUAUCACUGUGGCCCAGCAUGUGUCUGUCUAUCAGUGUUGGCAGGCAAGGUCACUAAGGCUGGUUUGAAGUU
rnacentral:lncRNA from 10 species